AAUUGUUUUAAAAUGUGUAAUUUCGUUUAUGAUUCGCCACGUUAUUUUCAUAUUUUUCGCUUUACUAGCUUCCCUCAGACGUUCUAUUUCAUAAUUGGCUUUUGCUUUUCUAAGAAGGGUUUUACAGUGAUUUCUAUAACGUUUAUAUGUCUUAAUAAAAAUAACAUUAACAGAAACUUCUUUGUAAUUAGUCUUGGUAACAGUGAUAGUGAAAAAAGGUUUCGUUUGGUUAGUAUCCAUGACUAGGAAGGAAUAUGGUAUCGUGGUCGGUGAGAGCAUUUUGAACAUUAUGUUCAUAUCACCUGUUAUUACGAUGUUUUUUUUUUAUAAUUCUUACAUGAGAUUAAUAGUUCUUCUAAUGAUUUAAGGAAUGGUAUUACAUUAUGAAAUGAUUGCGAUCUGUUAAUGGACUUUAGGAUAAUAACA